rnacentral:tRNA from 1 species
ACCUCGGUAGUGUAGUGGAUCAGCACGGCAGACGUGAUAAUCUGUAGGUGCGGGUUCGGGUGCCGAAUGAGGUU